UAAGCAUCAGAAUGUUUUUCUAUCUCCCCCCAUUGGCAUGGAUGCCAGAAGAAGAGCACUUCCAUGUGAUAUGGAUAAAAUGCUAGAUAUUUGACUAGAUAGAAGUUUUGUAUAAAUGGAAAGGAUUGCAAGAUUAAAUGACAGAAAAAAGACAGUGAUGACUAUAAGAAGCCAUUCAAAUUAUCAAAGGGAGGAAAAAAUGGGAAAAGACUGAGGCAAAUUCCUAACAUUCACAUCCUUAAAUGUCAUUUCUAUAAUCAAUUAAUAAUCCCUGAAAAACCUGCUUGAUGUCACAUAAUCUCUUCAAAGAAACAUCCAUUUUCAAUGAAGCUAUUCAAUGCACCAAGAAUUUUGCCAAUAAAAUCAGGUUUUUAAAUGGCC